GGGUUUAGCCUCUCCGAUCUCGUGGUAGAUCAACUCUUGUAAUACCCAUAUUAUCAAGUAUAAUCAAGCAGGACGUAGGGUUUUACCUCCAUCAAGAGGUCCCGAACCUAGGUAAAACAUCGUGUCCCCUGCCUCCUGUUACCAUCCGCCUUAGACGCACAGUUCAGGACCCCCUACCCGAGAUCUGCCGGUUUUGACACCGACAUUGGUGCUUUCAUUGAGAGUUCCUCUGUGUCGUCGUCAUUAGGCUGGAUGGCUCCUUCGAUCAUCGAUAGCGAUGCAGUUCAGGGUGAGACUUUUGUCCCCGGACAGAUCUUUGUGUUCGGCUGCUUCGCACUGCGGGCCAACUCGCUUGGCCAUCCAGAGUAGAUCGAGAGUUACGCCCCUGGCCACAAGGUCAAGUUCGGACUGUGCUCAGGAGAUCGCGCCCGCAACCACUCUGACCCUCAAUUCGGAGCCAGAUGCACCGUCCAUGGACGGGUGGAUAGACCCCCCCACGGAGGCCGCACUCUCAUCGGCGAUCGAGCCGAGUAUCGACCUUACCCUUCACGGGAGCCGUGACGCCGAACUACCGGAUCCUUUCCCGGCCAUGGACUCCGAACCGCCUGCGCCCAUGCCUAUCGAAUCCGAUUGGGCGCCGAUCAUGGAGUUUACCUCCGUGGAUAUUUUUCAAUACUCGCCCUUCAGGGACAUACUGAACUCAUUAAGGUCUCUCUCCUUGUCAGGAGAGUCCUGGCCGAACUAUGUUCGGCAGGAUUGGGAUGCGGAUGACGAAGAAAUUCGCCGCCCACCCACCACCCAUUUAGUAGCCACUGUCGACAACUUAACCGACAUGCUCGACUUUGACUCCGAAGACAUCGACGGUGUCGGUGUACUAGAGUAGGGGUACCCUAGUAUCCCGAACUUGUGCACGGGCAGGCGCAGCAUCCCGCGGCAAGGCUUGUCGGUGACCGCCAAGGUCCUCCAUGGUUCCUUUGGAGCCAUUCAAGAACAAAGUAUCCAAACCAAGACACCACAAGACCCCGGCAAGAGGAGCUUGCCGGGAAGGCCAACCAAGGCAAGGCGCUUAAGGAGACAAGACCCCGGCAAGAGGAGCUUGCCGGGAAGGCCAACCAAGGCAAGGCGCUUAAGGAGACAAGACCCCGGCAAGAGGAGCUUGCCGGGAAGGCCACCCAAGGCAUCUCAAAGAACUUGCCGCGGCGCGCCUCGCGUCCCGGCAAGGCCCGGUGAGCGACAAACUCCCGGACGCGACAAGACAACGACCGCGGCAAGGCGCUUGCCGCGGCAAGUCACCACUCUGUGCCUGCGCUCCAGCACAUCCACCAACGUGUCGCUCUGGGACCCUUCCAGGCGUGCGUGGCGGGAGGCUGUGCAGCCAGCGGUGCGCAGUGGCGAGCGGCGCUGACAAGAUUGCCAUCGUGGCGAGUGGUGGCGUCCCUGACGGUCCCUUUUGCACUGUUUAGGCGACACAGACGGGCAUUUAAUGCCCUUGUCCCCUGCCGUCAGGGUUAGGUAUGAUACACUGUAGCAGGUAGCUGUACCUACCGCAGCACCUUUCCAUUUUUACCCUUUGUCUCCGUUGCCACCUGUCGGUGACCCCUUGAGCAUAUAAAAGGAGGCCCAUGUGCAACGUAGAGGGGGGUUCGGGGGCUCCUGUCGGUGUACUAGAGUAGGGGUACCCUAGUAUCCCGAACUUGUGCACGGGCAGUCGCAGCAUCCCGCGGCAAGGCUUGCCGGGUGACCGCCAAGGUCCUCCGUGGUUUCUUUGGAGCCAUUCAAGAACAAAGUAUCCAAACCAAGACACCACAAGACCCCGGCAAGAGGAGCUUGCCGGGAAGGCCAACCAAGGCAAGGCGCUUAAGGAGACAAGACCCCCGCAAGAGGAGCUUGCCGGGAAGGCCACCCAAGGCAUCUCAAGGAACUUGCCGCGGCGCGCCUCGCGUCCCGGCAAGGCCCGGUGAGCGACAAACUCCCGGACGCGACAAGACAACGACCGCGGCAAGGCGCUUGCCGCGGCAAGCCACCACUCUGUGCCCGCGCUCCAGCACAUCCACCAACGUGUCGCUCUGGGACCCUUCCAGGCGUGCGUGGCGGGAGGCUGUGCAGCCAGCGGUGCGCAGUGCCGAGCGGCGCUAACAAGAUUGCCAUCGUGGCGAGCGGUGGCGUCCCUGACGGUCCCUUUUGCACUGUUUAGGUGACACAGACGGGCAUUUAAUGCCCUUGUCCCCUGCCGUCAGGGUUAGGUAUGAUACACUGUAGCAGGUAGCUGUACCUACCGUAGCACCUUUACAUUUUUACCCUUUGUCUCCGUUGCCACCUGUCGGUGACCCCUUGAGCAUAUAAAAGGAGGCCCAUGUGCAACGUAGAGGGGGGUUCGGAAAAAAGAGAACACUCAGGCUCGGUCUCGUUAGCCGCUGGUGUGUACUGUAGCACUCCGCGCUCCCGAGCAAGAACUCAAUACAAACCACAAAGCAGGAGUAGGGUUUUACGCAUCCGUGCGGCCCGACCUGGGUAAACUGCUCGUGUGCUUCGCCUCGAUCCGCUCUUCGUGCGACCUCCGCCCCCGCCGAACCGAAAGGGACUCGGUCCGUCGGUCCCAUAGGUGUUCGUGGAUUAGUCCCCCGACAUCUUUGGCGCACCAGGUAGGGGGCGUCGAGAUUGUGUGAACCAGAUCCGGCGUUCACACGAGCUAGAUCUUCAUCAUCUUCAUCGACAUGCCGCCAAAAAAGAAGGCUUUGGAGGCGGCUGCUCCGUCCACGCUGAACCCACCACCGCCGGAGCAAACGGCUGAUGGGGCAGACGCCGGCGGAAGAACGGGCGUCGACGAGGGAGCUCACGGUGCUGCCAGGUCCAAGGACAAGGUUGCGCUACCCAUCAGCGGCGUAGCCGGCUCCCACAACGACCGGGCGCACUCCAAGACCUCGGCGUCCGUACAUGCACCGCGCCCAUCUCAGGAGGCGCGGGACCGGCAGCAUCAUGGUACUCACAGUACCAUGCGUUUGCUGGACCAAGAUCGAGCUGGCGGAUCCCGGAGUGCUCAAGACCAGCAUGCACGCCAACAUGCUGGCACGAGCGAGGCACGGUCGCCUGGACGGGAUACUACUCCUUCUAACAUAGUUAGAAGUCCGAGCAUAUCCCGCUCCUCGCACCGUUCGCCACCGCCACCCGCCACUACAGCAGAAGCUUUAGCGCGAGCUCAAUUGCUCCUGGACUACCCUCCAACGGCAAACAAGAUCGACGACUGGAGGGCCACCAUUCAGAGUCUCAUCGGCUUCGCCAACGGCGACACUCAACAGCAGCCGAGCACGUCGCAGCCGUGGCAAGCCAGGCAGGCACGAGACGGUGGCGACAAGGCCGGUGGGGGUGCAACCAUUGUGCACUCUCCGCCCCGAAGGCCAAGAUCGCCGACUCGUCGAAUCCACCUCGACAGCGACUCCACCGCGUCAUCAGAUCCACGAGCUCGCCGCGAUCAGCGCCAAGUUCUUCACGAACGACAGCAAGAAGAUUCUCACACUCGCAUCAAGCGCCGAAGAGAAGCGCGACAUCAAUCGGACCAGCGCGUUGGGCCCUCUGUUGACAUGCACGCGCCAGGGGAACCAGGCGGCUUGCCGUACGCGGUAGGUUGCCCUGCGUUUACUCGUGAGCUGCGGCAAGUCCAGUGGCCCAGCAUGAAGAAUUUCAAGCCAGAUGUACCAGAGAAGUAUGACGGCAAGUUGCAUCCGUCGGAGUUCCUCAGCAUCUACACCAUCGCGGUGCAGGCUGCCGGGGGGCGGGACGACAAGAUCCUUGCCAACUACUUCCCGCUGGUGCUCAAACCCAACGUCAGGUCCUGGCUCAUGCACUUGCCGGACAACUCCAUGUCCUCCUGGGCAGACCUUUGCCAUCAGUUUGUCGGCGCCUUUACAGGCGGCCACAAACCUCAUGGCCAAGAGAGUGACCUUCAUCUGCUCACCCAGAAGGAAGGUGAGCCCCUGCGCAAGUACAUUCAGAAGUUCAGCCGUGUACAGCACAACAUCCGAGAUGUCCACCCUACCGCGGUCAUCAGCGCGUUCCAUCAGAACGUGCAUAACCGCAGGAUGCGGGAGGAGAUGGCGAUGUGCAAGAUCAGAGACGUCAGUGAGCUGUAUGCCCUGGCCGACAAGUGUGCACGUGCUGAGGAAGGGAGGAAACUCCCUGGAGAGAAUGCAAGAGCAGGAGGAUCUGACAGCGAGGAUGCUGCCCCGGCAAAGAAAAACCGGCAGCAGAACAACAGGAAGAAGAAAGGCAAAGAUAUGCUAGUCGUUGAGCAGUCCGGCAACGAAGGUGGCGCCAAGAAAGCCAAAGCAGGUAGCUCCGGCAAGGAGAUUGUCGCAUGCACCAACUGCCAGGCUGUGGCGGUCAUCGACAAGCAGGACGGCACCGACAAGCAGUACUCCAAGAUCCACCGCACCAAGGGCCAUGACCUCCAGAGCUGCAAGAAGGUCGAACAGCUUGUCCAGCAGCAAAAAGCCAAAUACGAGCAACGUGACAAGGAGAGGGCCCAAGGUGGCGAUGAAGAAUCCGGCAAGAAGCGCGCCGGCCGGGGAGGACGCCGCGGCAAGGCCAAGCAGCGGCAAGGAGACAGACCUCCCCGCGGCCGCGACAAGGAUGAAGAUGACGACGACGACGAAGACAUGGAUGAUGUCGAGACCAGUGAGCAGGAGUUCCAGAAAGCCAUAGAGGUCUUGUGCGUUGAUGGCGGUGCUUCUCUACAUACUUCGCACCGCCAACUCAAGCAGUGGGUGCGGGAAGUCAAUGCGGCGGAACCACCUGUCGAGUCACGCAAGCUUCUGAAAUGGUCCAGCACGCCUAUCAUCUUUGAUAUUGAGGACCACCCUGAUCGCACAACUGCGGUCGGGUGCUUGCCGAUGUUGGUUUCACCAACUAUCCGCAACCUCAAGGUCACUAAGAUGUUAGUUGACGGCGGGGCCGGCUUGAACCUGAUCUCCUCCGCGGUACUCCAGAAAUUCAGAUCCCUGACAGCGAGCUUGAAGAGACCGGCACAUUCCAAGGAAUCAACCCGGGAAGGAGCAAGACGAAGGGGAAGGUCACGUUGCUAGUAACAUUUGGCAGCGAGUUGAACUUUAGGACUGAGAGGGUCACUUUUGACGUUGCCGAUAUACCAUUGCCUUACAAUGGAAUACUUGGCCGUCCAGCACUCGCCAAGUUCAUGGCAGCCUCUCACUACGCAUACAACAUGCUGAAGAUGCCAGGCCCGAUAAGCGUCAUCUCUGUCCCCGGCGACAAGAAGGAUGCUCUUAUCUGCGCCGACAAAAUCUACCGGGAAGCGACAGCCGCAACAGAUCGCAAGUCACUCGCCGUUGAAGCUCCCGGGGGGAAGAAGAAGACCGAGUCCGGCAAGAGUUCUGAUGCCCACUCCGGCAAGUGCACCUCUUCGGAGUGCUGCGCUGCCGUCGAGGACGCACCAUUGAGCUCCACCGGCAAGUGUAAGAAGACAAUGGCGGCUCCGCCACAGACGAAGAAGGUGUCCGCCAAGGAGGAUGGCACUGGUGGUACCUUCACCAUCGGUGCCACUCUCGACCCUAAAUAGGAAAGCGCGCUCAUUACUUUCCUGCGGGCGAAUGUCGACGUGUUUGCGUGGCAACCGUCUGACAUCCCCGGUGUUCCCAGGAAAGUAAUUGAGCACCACCUUGUUGUUUGUCCUCAUGCGUGGCCCGUCAAGCAGAAGGUCAGGAAGCAAGCAGUGGAGCGCCAAGAAUUCAUUGCAGAAGAGAUCAAGAAGUUGGAAGCAGCAGGCCUUGUCAGAGGAGUGCUCCAUCCUACGUGGUUGGCCAAUCCUGUAGUCGUGCGCAAGGCGAACGGGAAAUGGAGACUUUGUAUCGAUUUUACCGAUGUUAACAAAGCUUGUCCCAAAGACCCAUUUCCUUUGCCGCGCAUUGACCAGAUUGUUGACUCCACGGCCGGAUGUGAUUUGCUUUCAUUUCUUGACGCAUACUCAGGAUACCAUCAGAUCUUCAUGGCAGAAAAGGAUGAGGAGAAGACCGCAUUCAUUACUCCAUGUGGCACGUACUGUUUCAUACGGAUGCCUUUCGGAUUAAAAAAUGCUGGCUCAACAUUUGCAAGAGUAGUCCAUGUCGCUCUUAAGCCACAAAUACACAUAAAUGUGGAAGCCUACAUGGAUGAUAUAGUGGUUAAGAGCAAGGACAAGGCAACUCUGAUCCAAGAUUUAGACGAGACCUUUGCAAAUCUGCGCAAGAUCAGCCUCAAGCUCAACCCCGAGAAGUGUGUGUUUGGAGUCCCCUCCGGCAAGCUUCUCGGGUUCUUCGUGUCUCAGCGGGGAAUCGAAGCCAAUCCCGACAAGAUCAAGGCCAUUGAGCAGAUUGAAGCACCAAAGUGCGUCAAGGAUGUACAAAGACUUGCCAGUUGCGUGGCUGCUCUUAGCAGGUUUAUCUCUAGGUCUGCUGAGCGCGCCCUACCGUUUUUCAAAUUAUUGAAAAAGGCAGGUCCAAUGAAAUGGACUCUGGAAGCGGAGGCUGCGCUGCAAGACUUGAAGAGAUACCUGUCCUCCCCUCCAAUACUUGUCGCACCUAAGCCACAAGAGAAGUUGUUGUUGUAUAUAGCGGCAACCAAUCAAGUGGUUAGUGUUGCGUUAGUGGCAGAGAGGAAGGCGGAUGACGAGCUAGCAACCACGACAGGCGCAUCCAGCGGCAAGCAGAGGGCUUCCCCGGCAAGCUCUGGUCCCGACAAAGAUGGAUCUGCGCAGAUGCGCGAGGAGAUACAAAAGAAAAUGGUGCAGCGCCCAGUUUACUUUGUCAGUUCCCUUCUGCAGGGGGCUAGGUCAAGGUACUCUGGCAUGCAGAAAUUGCUUUUCGGCCUUGUCAUGGCCUCGAGAAAGCUGCGCCAUUACUUCCAAGCACAUGAGAUCACAGUUGUCACUCGCUUUCCGCUGAAGAGGAUACUACAGAAUCCAGAAGCGAUAGGUAGGAUUGUUGAGUGGGCACUGGAACUGUCAAGCUUUGGCCUCAAGUUUGGGAGUACUUCAACUAUCCAAAGCAGAGCAUUGGCAGAGUUCAUAGCAGAAUGGACGCCAACACCAGAUGAAGAAAUUCCAGAAACGAGCAUCCCCGUCGACGAAGCAAGCAAAGAGUGGCUGAUGUACUUUGAUGGUGCUUUUUCGCUGCAAGGCGCCGGCGCUGGCGUGCUGCUUAUCGCACCCACCGGAGAGCACCUCAAGUACAUAGUCCAGAUGCACUUUCCCAAGGAGCAAGCAACAAACAAUACUGCAGAAUAUGACGGCUUGCUUGCCGGUGUCAGGAUCGCGGCAGACCUUGGGAUCAAGAAGCUCAUUGUCCGGGGUGACUCACAGCUUGUCGUCCGCCAAGUGAACAAGAGUUAUUAGAGUCGUUCAUGGAAGCUUAUGUCGACGAAGUGAGAAAGAUAGAAGAGCACUUUGACGGCCUACAGAUGGAGCAUGUUCCAAGAGCUCAGAACGCCAUUGCCGAUGGCCUGUCAAAGUGCGCUGCACUUAAGUUACCUGUGGAACCAGGGAUCUUUGUGCUCAAGCUGACUCAACCGUCUGUAACGCCUUCAACUGGACAGAGCAAGAAGAGGAAGUUGAUUUCUAGUGACUAUUUGCCGGCAGAGCUUCCCGAAGCCGCCGCCAAGAAGGUCCCCAAGAUCAACGCCAAGAGCGCUAAGGAGCAAUCUGCUCCGGCAAGCCCUAGGGUUUGUUCCGUUGAAGCAGAAGCUCCCGGCAAGUUUUGCUCCGGCAAGCUUGCCAGGGAACGUCAAGCUCCGGCAGAGCCACAGGUUCUCGCCAUAGAAGCGGACGUUCCCGCAGCAGCAGAUUUGCCUUUGGCAAAGAAGGUCCCCGAGAUCAAGGCCAAGAGCGUUGAGGAGCAAUCUGCUCCGGCAAGCCCUAGGGUUUGUUCCGUUGAAGCAGAAGCUCCCGACAAGUUUUGCUCCGGCAAGCUUGUCAAGGAACGUCAAGCUCCGACAGAGCCGCAGAUUCUCGCCGUAGAAGCGGAUGUUCCCGCAGCCGCAGAUUUGCCUUUAGUCCUUGUUGUCGAGCCACAAGCUCCAGCAUGGGCACAGCAGGUUGUCCAUUUCCUUCAGACAGGAGAACUUCUCGAAGAGCAAGAAGAAGCGGAAAGAGUAGCCCGGCAGUCAAGUAUGUACCAGUUUGUCGACAAGACACUGUACAGAAGAAGACUCAAUGGUGUGAAAUUGAAGUGUAUUCACCGGGAAGACGGACAAAAGUUGUUGGCAGAGAUACAUGGAGGCAUAUGUGGUCACCACAUUGGCGCAAGAGCACUUGUCGGCAAAGCAUUCCGGCAAGGUUCCUUUUGGCCGACAGCCCUCCAGGAUGCAACUGCACAAGUAACCAAGUGUGAAGCGUGCCAGUUCCAUUCCAAGCAGAUACACCAACUAGCUCAAGCUCUCCAGACGAUCCCUUUAUCCUGGCCAUUUUCGGUCUGGGGGCUCGACAUCCUCGGCCCCUUUCCCCGAGCAGUCGGGGGCUUUGAGUACUUGUACGUCGCAAUCGACAAGUUCACAAAGUGGCCGGAAGUGGAACCAGUGAGGAAGGUGACAGCACAGUCAGCAGUCAAGUUCUUCAGGUCGAUUGUUUGCCGCUUCGGGAUCCCUAACAGGAUAAUCACCGACAACGGUACACAAUUCACGAGCCGCACCUUCAUGUAGUACGUCCAAGAUCUUGGCGCCAAGGUCUGCUUCGCUUCUGUUGCUCACCCGAGAAGCAACGGUCAAGCGGAGAGGGCAAAUGCUGAAGUGCUACGCGGGCUCAAGACCAGGACUUUCGACAGGCUGCACAAGUGCGGAAGAAACUGGAUCGAGGAGCUGCCGGUGGUUCUUUGGUCGAUCAGAACGACGCCAAAUCGAGCCACUGUCCAGACACCUUUUGCUCUAGUCUAUGGAGCAGAGGCAGUUCUCCCCACGGAACUCGUAUACGGGUCACCUCGAGUGCUCGCUUAUGAUGAGCUCGAGCAAGAGCAGUUGCGACAAGAUGACGCGCUGCUCCUUGAGGAAGACCGUCUUCAGGCUGCUGUGCGAGCUGCUCGCUACCAGCAAGCUUUGCGCCGCUACCAUAGCCGCAAAGUUAAUGCCAGAAGUUUCGAGGAAGGCGACCUUGUUCUUCGGCGUGUUCAGUCCGCCAAGAAUUCCAACAAGUUGACGCCAAAGUGGGAAGGCCGUUACCGGGUGAAACGAGUCACUAGGUCUGGUGUUGUCCGCCUUGAGACCGAAGAUGGCAUUCCGGUGAGCAACUCCUGGAACAUUGAGCAUCUUCGUAAGUUUUACCCGUAAGGCGCGGUUGCCGGAACCUGUUCCGGCAACCACCUUUUGUACAAGUCUUGCCGCUGUUGCAUAUAAUCCUUUGUACAAAGCCGGGCGCAGACCCCGUGCAUAAGUAAAGCUCAUGUGCUCCGCACAUUUUGUCAAUUUCAUGCUCUCUAUUUUUUGGCAUAUAUGAUCUGACACUUUGUGCAGCACCUACUCCAUGGUAAGCAAUAACAAGCCGUAAGGCUCCAUAUCUUUAUCUUCUCUUCUUUCUUUUUUCUCAAGGAAAGGAAGGUUCCCUCGCCCACAAGUUUGCCGGGGAGGAAAGGAGAAGAUAAUGGUAUGGACCAGGCGUCGUUCAAGAAAAUUUCGCCUUACCGGGAAGCAAACAACAGAAAAGCUAAGUUGCCAAAGUUUGAGCAAUCAAAUUUUUUAAAUUUUAAGUUAUCUCCCUUGAACGAUCGCACUUUGUACGGAAAACCUGUGCGCGGAGGAACCAACUCGUAGCUAGUUGCGCCCUUACUUUGUUUCGAGUCCGCUCAACAACUUAAGUGAGCUGCAACUAGUUGCGACAAGGUUUCUUGUCGAUAGCGGCACCGCCAGCAGGCUGCUGACGUCCUGCACUCAGCGCUCGCGGCUCAGGUACCUGCACCGGCAAGUUCCCUAAAAGCAUAGGGCAAAAACAUACAAAGGGAGGAAUCAAGUAAAGGGAAUAACAUUGCAAUCAUUACCCAGAAUAGAGUUAUAUUACAAAGAUAGCUUGUCGCGGCUCUAACAGAUUGUUUUCAUAGCAUGACAAACAGCGACAAGAAAAGAAGAAAUGGGCAGCCUAAUCUACGCGAUCGCCCUCGAUCCUCUUGAUCCCGCUCACCUUGUCCACAAUGGGUGUGACAAGGGCCUUGAGCGCCUCCAGAUCGGCAUCCGGCGGCAGGGUUUUGAGGACGUUGGUGAGGUUGAGGCCCGGAUUGUGGAAGGCCGCCUUCACCAACACUUUCUGAAGAGCUCCCGCGCAGAUCUUGCGCGACUCGUCGGCCAGCUGCUUUGGGAUCCUCUCCCGGAGUCGCUGGAGGGCCGUCGCCACGCCCUUGAAGAACAAGACGAGCUUGGCGCUGGGUUGGAGGUUCUCGUCGGAGGGAUACCCGAGAUCCUCCAUCCCUAGCUGCGCCAACUCCCUAUAAAUAUCUGUGGCAGUGCUCACGAGGCUCUCCGUCCAGUGCUCCACAUUUUCCCUGAAAGCAUUCUGGGUGGCGGCAACACUCUCCAACAGCGCCUUGUCGGCCUUGAUCUCUUCUUUCAAGGCCGUCUCCUGCUCCUUGGCGCCGUCCAGCGUCUUGGUCAAAGUGGUCAGCUUCAACUCAAGAUCCGCGUUGGAGUCUUUGGCGGCGCUGAGCUCUUUGCCCUUCUCGGCAAGAUCGGCCUCCCGCUGCACCACCUUCAUCUCCAGCUCCUUCUUGGCGGCCUCGGCAACUGCGGCAGCAUCCUCUGCUUACUUAAGGGCUCCACCGAGUUUUUCCCCGCGCACGGCAAGCUCCUCCUCGUGGGCGUCAAGAUUGACCUUCCGCUGCGCCAGCUCGCCCUCCUCCGCGGAUAGCUUCACAGCGGCAAGUCGCUGUUGCUCUUCGACUUCAGCCUUCUCAAGGAGGAAGGCCUUCUGCGCUUCGGCGAGCUGCUCCCGCUCCUCCGCCAGGGACCGGAGGGCUUCCUGGUGGAAAUCCCCGAGCUCUUCCGCGUGCUUCUCGAUGUCUGCUCCCGCCUUCGCGACAAGCGCCUUGCGGGAUUCCAGCUUGGCUUGCCGCGCGCGGUAGAGCGACAACAACUUCCGCAGCAGCCGCUCUUCCUCGGGCUCGUUGCUGCUGCUGCUCGGCGCGUCAACCAGCGUCAGCCCAGCGGAGGCAAGCACCUCCCCGUCGAAGAUCUCUCCCUCGACCGGCGCCCAGGAGCUCGAUGCCUAGGGAAGGUUGAUGAAGACGUCAUCGCCGGCCUUCAAGUAGACGCCUGGCUGGGGCUCUUCGGAGCCUGGCACUGUGGCAGCGGCGGACGGGUCGGCGAUCGGUGUAGCGCCUGGCGCUCCUGCGGCCUCAGGGCCGUCAGUGCGAUCGCCAGACCCCUCGCCAGUUGCCGCGGCGGCAGCCUUGGCGGCCUCUGCGCCGGCGGGAUCGUCGGCACCGGCCGCUUCUUCGGCGGCAACCUCGGUCUCCAUCGGCUCCGUAGCAGAUGGGUCUGACAGCCGGAAAAGGGAGAAGAGUCAAGCAAAAACCCAAGAAGAUCAAAAGAAGAAGAACCCAAGGAAAGUUUUGAAGCGAAAGGAUUACCUGUGCCGGGUUCUGCAGUCGUGGUCUCCACCGUCGGGGGGCCGCUGGUGCUGUCCCUUGCCGGAGAACCCUCCCUUACCGGAGACUUCUCCCUUACCGGAAAGCCCUCCCUUGCCGGAGAGCUCUCCCUUGUCGGGGGAUUCUCCCUUGGCUCUUGGUGGGGCUGCUCUGCUCCUACACAAACCAGCAGUAAGAUAUCAGCAAAGACAGAGUAUCCAUGCGCAUCUCACAGCAGAAAGCAACCCAUAUACUAACGCUGGGGGCUGCUCUGGAGAAAAGUUGCCGGGUCCGGCAAGGUUGUCUCGAGCGCACCCCCUGCUGUCGCAGUAGGUUCGUCCUCGAUGACAAUCAUCGGGACUUUGGCUCUCUUUGCUGCUCUCUGGGCCAGAGUCCUAAAAAGGAACAAGUUCAGAGUCAAGCAAAUGAGAUACAAGACAAACAGCAAGCAUUGAAGAACUACAAGUACACCAAAGGAGUCUUACUCUUCUUCUUCUUCCUCGUCGGAGCUGAACGCGGAGAAGUCGAAGUCUGGCUCACGUCCGGCACGAGGAGGCGGAGGAGUAGCUUCCCUUGGCCGCUUGGCGGGAGCAGUGGCGGCGGUCUGAGACGACCCCGCUCCGACUGUCGCCGCGGCGUGAGAAGCGGCAGGAGUAGAAGUGGUGGUCCGGGAGGGCCCCGCUCCAGUUGCCGUCACAGCGUGAGGCGCUCCCGCGGUAACAGUGCUUGCCGCGGUGGAGCGUGUCACGCGGCGCAGCGACUGUUGCCUCGCUUGCCGCUCCGCUACGUCACCGACCUUGCGGAGACGCCUUCUUGGUGUGGAUGGAGGCUCUGCUUGCGGCGAGCUGUCUGAAGAUGAGGAGGAAGACGAGUUGAUCUCCAGCGAGCCGCUCGUAUCCUUGGCGGGCUCGCUCGACUCGAUGUUAUGCCCGGCAAGCUCUUUCUCGCCGGCAGGCUCCCCUUGCUCGGCACGGCUUGCCGCCUCUGCUGCCUCUGCCUCCUCCACGGUGAAUCCAAAUUCUCCCGCGGCUGCGGCUGCCGCCGCCUCUUCUAGCCUAGUGGCGAUGAGUGCCAUCUCCGCAUCGGUGGUGUCGCGGGUGAGGCUAUCUUUCUCGUCGGAGCGGAUCGGCACUUCUACCAAGUCAUCGAAGAAUUGCUGCACGACGUCGUCUGCAGGCUCUUGCCAAGUUGGGACAAUUCCAUGCGAGUCGCACAACGGCAUCAUUGCACGGAUGCGGUCGAGCUCGGAGUUGUUACACAGCGGAACGACCCCCCCCCCCAGCAACCUGAAAACUUCGGGGUGUUGAGGGUCGUACUUGAACAGCUCCUGGAGCAUCGCGUUGAGCUCCAGAACUGUGAAGUUGAAGUUGAGGCCCGGCCGCAGCCUCAUGAUAUCUGCCGCAUUCUUGAACUCCCAAGUGGGUCUCCCCCGUUCCUGCAGGGGGGCGAUGCGGCGCGAAGAAAAUCCGCGCCAACAGUGCCUACAGUGAGCCCGGCAAGCCUGAGGCGUAGGAUCCGGGUGACAGCAAUCUUCAGCCUGUCGUCUUCCGGGGCCACGUCACUCCAAUCGCUGCCGCGUGCUACUGGGGUUUGGCGCUGGGUGGUGAAUGGCUGCGGGUUCUCCUCGUCAAUCCAGCACCAGUCCGCUCUCCACUCCUCCCACUUGCCGCGGAAUUCUCCCUCCAGAUAAGUUUCCUUCUUGCCGGCCCUUGAGAUCCAGGCGAUUCCACCGGAUAAAGGCUCUCCUAUCUCUACUCGGGGUAUAAAGAAGUGGCGAAAGAGGGCUACAUUGGGAUGGACUCCGACAAAGUUUUCACAGAGAUUUGCGAAAACUGCCAUGGUCAAAACGGCAUUGGGGGUGAAGUCGAGGAGAUGGAACCCGUAGGUGUUCAUGAUAUCGCAGAAGAAUUCAGAGAAAGGCGGGCAGAGCCCGCAGUAGAAGAACAAGGCGAAGAAAGGGUAUCCGUUUGGGGCCUUCUUCCAAGCGGCAGCGGGAAGUACCUUCGUGCGCGGAUGCGCUCGUGUCUCCGUCGACCAGAAGAGGUAGUAUUUCUCCCUCAGCUCCCUCGCGGCAAGCUUGGGGGGAAGACUACCCGCUCCUUUUGUAGCGCCGCAAGCCACUGCGCCUCAGUCAACUUCACGACCUUCCCCUUGUCGGCUUUUGGAGCCAUGGCGGAAGUGGUGGAGGAGGUCGACGGCGUUGGUGGUGCUGGUGGCGAUGGGGGGCGGAGCGCUGCUCUCUUUCGGCUUUGGGAAGACGAGGGAGCGGCGGAGAUUUCUGAGAUUGAAGCAGCAACCGGCGAAUGGGCGAACUACCCCUGUUCCCCCUUCUUAUAAAGAGGGAGGGGGCGGACGUUCCGCAUUUCCGAAUAAACAAACUGCCCACGAUCUCUCCCACGAUGCCGCAUUCAACGCGUGCCGUUUGGGGAGGGCGCGGUGGAUACGGAGAGAGAUACGGCGUAACCUACGCCGCACGUGCCCCUGCCCAGUUUUGGGCCUGGCCCAACAGCGCUCGGCACCGUGUAUGGCCCAGGCCCGGGGGCUCCUGUCGGUGUACUAGAGUAGGGGUACCCUAGUAUCCCGAACUUGUGCACGGGCAGUCGCAGCAUCCCCCGGCAAGGCUUGCCGGGUGACCGCCAAGGUCAUCCGUGGUUCCUUUGGAGCCAUUCAAGAACAAAGUAUCCAAACCAAGACACCACAAGACCCCGGCAAGAGGAGCUUGCCGGGAAGGCCAACCAAGGCAAGGCGCUUAAGGAGACAAGACCCCCGCAAGAGGAGCUUGCCGGGAAGGCCACCCAAGGCAUCUCAAGGAACUUGCCGCGGCGCGCCUCGCGUCCCGGCAAGGCCCGGUGAGCGACAAACUCCCGGACGCGACAAGACAACGACCGCAGCAAGGCGCUUGCCGCGGCAAGCCACCACUCUGUGCCCGCGCUCCAGCACAUCCACCAACGUGUCGCUCUGGGACCCUUCCAGGCGUGCGUGGCGGGAGGCUGUGCAGCCAGCGGUGCGCAGUGGCGAGCGGCGCUGACAAGAUUGCCAUCGUGGCGAGCGGUGGCGUCCCUGGCGGUCCCUUUUGCACUGUUUAGGCGACACAGACGGGCAUUUAAUGCCCUUGUCCCCUGCCGUCAGGGUUAGGUAUGAUACACGGUAGCAGGUAGCUGUACCUACCGCAGCACCUUUCCAUUUUUACCCUUUGUCUCCGUUGCCACCUGUCGGUGACCCCUUGAGCAUAUAAAAGGAGGCCCAUGUGCAACGUAGAGGGGGGUUCGGAAAAAAGAGAACACUCAGGCUCGGUCUCGUUAGCCGCUGGUGUGUACUGUAGCACUCCGCGCUCCCGAGUAAGAACUCAAUACAAACCACAAAGCAGGAGUAGGGUUUUACGCAUCCGUGCGGCCCGAACCUGGGUAAACUGCUCGUGUGCUUCGCCUCGAUCUGCUCUUCGUGCGACCUCCGCCCCCGCCGAACCGAAAGGACUCGGUCUGCCGGUCCCAUAGGUGUUCGUGGAUUAGUCCCCCGAUAGACGGUAUGGACGACGAUGCGGGAGACAAAGAGGAACCACUGCCCACAAGGCACUGGACAGCCACCUCAUCAUAUGACAUAUAUAUGGUGGACGCACCCAAAGAAGGCAAUGGCAAUGGGACAGCAGAGGAUAACCCCUCCAAGAAGCAACCCAAGCGCCGACAUCAGCGGCGCCGCUCUAAGUCUCUCCAAAGCAAAAGCGGUGACACCGGCACAGGAGAUAAUAACACUCCAGAUAGUGCCGAAGACGACAACAAUCCCCUCCGGCAAGAUUUAGGGCAGGAGGAUGGAGAAGCCAGCCCUCCCGAGAGAGCGGCAGAUGGAGAGGCAGAGGAUGAUAAUUACAUGCCUCCCUCCAAAGACGAGGCAAGCCUUGACGAUGACGAAUUCGCCGUGCCUGAGGAUCCCAUCGAACAAGAGUGCUUCAAGCGUCGGCAUAUAGCCACGACAAAUAGCCUUAAGAAAAAGCAACAGCAGCUUCAAGUUGAUCAAGAUUUGCUAGCUGACAGAUGGACUGAAGUCCUUGCGGCCGAGGAAUAUAAACUCGAACGCCACUCCAAGAGUUACCCAAAGCGCAUGUUGCUACCCCGACUGGAGGAGGAAGCACCGAAACCUACAUCUCCGGCGUAUGACGCGGCUGAUCGGCCACCUCGUGGCUGUGACAAAGAGGCAUUCCAGCCAAAAGUCCAGCCCGCACCCCGACGCUAAUCAAAUAAAAAUUUCAAGACAUGGGGAAAUACGCCAGACCUGCAAGACGUAUUGGAGGAAAAAGCAAAACAUGCAAGAUCGAUCUACGGAUCGCGAGGGCGCGCCACUAUGCGAGACGAUAACCGUCACGCCGGAUACAGUAAAAGUAAGUCCGGUCGGGCCGAACACAGCGGAUAAGACUCAUUUGAGUUGCGUCGCGAUACAGCCCAGUACAGAGGUGCCGCACACCCCCUAUGCUUCACAGACGAAGUCAUGGAUCAUCAAAUCCCAAAGGGUUUCAAACCCGUAAAUACAGAAUCAUACGAUGGCACAACAGAUCCUGCGGUAUGGAUCGAGGACUUCCUCCUGCACAUCCACAUGGCCCGCGGUGACGAUCUACACGCCAUCAAAUACCUCCAACUUAAACUCAAAGGACCAGCUCGGCAUUGGCUCAGCAGCCUGCCAGCAGAAUCCAUUGGCUGUUGGGAGGAUCUGGAAGCCGCAUUCCUUGACAACUUCCAGAGCACUUAUGUGCGACCACCAGAUGCCGAUGACUUGGGCCACAUAAUUCAGCAGCCAGAGGAAUCGGCCAGGCAAUUCUGGACACGGUUCCUAACAAAGAAAAAUCAAAUCAUCGACUGUCCGGAUGCAGAGGCCAUAGCAGCUUUUAAGCACAACAACCGCGACGAGUGGCUCGCCCGGCACCUUGGCCAGGAAAAGCCGAAAUCUAUGGCAGCCAUCACGACACUCAUGACCCACUUUUGUGUGGGAGAAGACAGCUGGCUGGCUCGCAGAAAUAACAUAUCAAAGAACCAUGGUACUUUGGAUACCAAGGAUGACAAUGGCAGGUCACGUCGCAACAAAAACAAGCGCCGCAUUAACAACGAUAAUACUGAGGAUACGGCAGUUAAUGCCGGAUUCAGAGGCUCUAAACCCGAUCAGCGGAAAAAGCCAUUCAAAAGAAGCACUCCGGGCCCGUCCAGUUUGGACCGUAUACUCGAUCGCUCGUGUCAAAUACACGGCACCCCCGACAAGCCAGCCAACCACACCAAUAGGGGUUGUUGGGUGUUUAAGUAGGCCGGCAAGUUAAAUGCCAAAAACAAAGAUAAGGGGUCACAUAGCGAUGACAAGGAGGAGCCCCGGCAGCCGAACACCGGAGGACAGAAGAGGUUCCCCCCACAAGUGCGGACGGUGAACAUGAUAUACGCAACCCACAUCCCCAAGAGGGAGCGGAAGCGUGCGCUAAGGGACGUAUAUGCAUUGGAGCCAGUCGCCCCAAAGUUCAACCCAUGGUCCUCCUGUCCGAUCACCUUCGAUCGCAGGGACCACCCCACUAGUAUCCGUCAUGGCGGAUUCGCCGCACUGGUCCUAGACCCAAUCAUUGACGGAUUUCACCUCACUCGAGUCCUCGUGGAUGGUGGCAGCAGCCUGAACCUGCUUUAUCAGGACACAGUGCGCAAAAUGGGUAUAGACACCUCAAGGAUCAAACCCACAAAAACGACCUUCAAAGGCGUCAUACCAGGUGUAGAGGCCCAUUGCAUAGGCUCAGUCACACUGGAAGUGGUCUUCGGAUCCCCGGAUAACUUCCGAAGCGAGGAGUUAAUCUUCGAUAUAGUCCCGUUCCGCAGCGGCUAUCAUGCACUGCUCGGGCGAACCGCAUUUGCGAGAUUCAAUGAGGUACCGCAUUAUGCAUACCUCAAGCUCAAGAUGCCAGGACCUCGGGGGGUCAUCACAGUCAAUGGAAACACAGAGCGCUCUCUCCGCACGGAGGAGCACACUAUGGCCCUCGCAGUAGAAGCGCAAAGCAGCCGCUUAAGGUAAUCCACCAGUUCGGCGAUUCAAGACCCGGACACCUUCAAGCAUGCCCGGAGUAAUCGGCAACAAGAAUGCCUGGCAUGUUCCGAGCUUGCAUAGCAAUGCGGCCCCAACCCCAGCACCAGCCAAACGGCGAAAUCCGUGCCACGCGUACAUAAUUAUGCAUUAAAAAUACCAUUGGCACAGGGGGGAGGGGGCACGACUACGGCAUGCCCCAAGACGCGGCUCAACCGCACUAGGGGCUUCCCGUUUUGUUAUUUUUCUCUCUUUCAGGACUUUAAUCUCUGGAAACCCCGUCCGGCAGUACGGUUGCCAGACACACAAUGCAACAACCAAGGAGGCAGAAAGCUACGCCGCACCACGGAACUCCCAUGUGGUCUCUGACAACGAGUGAAAUACCUGCUUUAAAUACCAUUCUUAGCUUGCCCUUGGAGGGGACAUGUCAAGUAGUCCUACUUUUUGCUUAUCGCACUACUUGUAUCAUUCUGCUUUACGCACCUUUUUGAAUAAACAAUGCAUAGCACUAGACUAUUAUCGCAUAUAUAUAUAUAUGUGUGUGUGUGUGUGUGUUCAUUCAUGACAUUCAGCACCCGUACACUCUGGUAUGGCCAAUACGCCAGGGGCUUAAGCGUACCCCAUAAUACGGCGUGAGAAGUCCGAACACUUUGACAGUGCGGCACCCCGAACUUAUAGCAUUAUAUGCAUCGGCUCCGAAUCAUGUCUUGGGUCAAUAGUUGGGUUUGCCCGGCUCCCAUGUUUUGGUACCUUAUGUUCCGCUAUAUCGGCUAAGGUAGCACUGGAAGAACUACUGCGAUUGUGCCCCGGUUCAGCUGGGCUAAGCACCUCAGUAGAGAAAGCUAAAAUUGACUGUCAUGAUAAGGCGAGAGACUGGUCGCUGAUCGAGAGGUUUCAAGUCCCUAAAGACUUAUGCCGCUUAGAGCGAGGAGUCGGCUUUGUCCGGCUUAAGGCGUGUAUAGCGCCCCGAAUUCAGCCUUCCGAAUACUAGGGGCUUUGCCAAAAUUUAAAAUUAUAGAAUUUUAUGGCUAAGUGAGAAUGAUAAAGCAUUAUAGUCCAAUUGCCUUGUUCGUUGUGCUGAGCACCUCCCUCGAAGGACCCAAAAAUGGGAACAAGAGUGCUCUGGUUUAUCCCGAACACCCCACCACUCGUGGCAUGGGGGCAGAAGCCGACGACUAGCCAUCUCUCAGAUUUGAUAAAUAGUUGAACAGAACAUAAUAUUUUAAAUUCAAACAAGCGUUGCAUAGCGCAUAUGAACAAGUUUUCAUAAUACAGGAUCACACGAGCAAGUUCAUUCAAAUAUUACAUCUUCUGCAAACUCAUCCGCUACAAGACGGGCACCCUUCAGGACCCCCUCAUAAUACAUCUCGGGGUGGCGAUGCUCCUUGCCCUGCGGCGGCCCCUCCUUCACCAGCUUCUUGGCGUCCAUCUUGGCCCAGUGCGCCUUUGCACGGGCAAAAGCCCGGCGUGCACCUUCGAUGCAGACGGACCGCUUGAUGACUUCUAGCCGUGGGCAGGCAUCCACAAGCCGCCUCACCAGGCCGAAGUAGCUGUUGGGAAGGGCUUCGCCAGGACACAUCCGGACUAUAAAGCCCUUCAUGGCCUGUUCGGCCUCCUGUGCAGCUCGAACAGUUGCUUCAGCUGGUCGCUCACAGCCAUCGGGUGUUCGGUCCCAGUAUACUGAGACCAGAACAACUUCUCCAUCGAGCUUCCCUCCUUAGCCUGGUAAUAUUCCGCGGCAUCCGACACGCUACGGGGCAAAUAUGCGAAUGCUCCUGGAGCUCUCCGGACUCGAGUAAGUAACAAGUAAUUUACUUGCACAUGCUUGCUUUGCAUAUUGAAUGCCUUACUCGCCGCUAUCUUCCUCAUCGCUUCAAUCUCCUGGAGGGCUUUUUGGGCUUCGGCCUUGGCAUUCUUUGCGCUCUCGAGGGUCGCGGCAAGCUCAGACUCUCACGUCUUUGAAUCAAGCUCCAAAGCCUUGUGCUUCGUCACAAGAGCCUGGAGCUCUUGCUGCACCUCGCCCACCCGUGCCUCUUGCUUUUCCCGCUCGGUGCGCUCCUUGGCCACUUUGUCUUCAGCCUCGGACAGCGCUGGCGUUAGGGUCGCCACCUCGGUUGUGGCCCCUGGCACAUUCAUGAUGAUCUUGUCAUUUCGCAACCACAUUUUCUUUUAUAUAUAUAGACAAGGUAUUCCUUACCUUUAUUCUCCUCGAGCUGCCUCUUGGCAAGGCCGAGCUCUUUCUCGGACCCCUUGAGGUCCUACUUCAGUGCGGCGUCCUCCGCAGUCAGUGCGGCAGAGGUCAGCAGCGAAGCCCGCAUAUGCAUACAGGCAUACUUAUAUUAGACUCCUGCAUAUUUUAUUUGAUCCUCUAUUCGGCUUUUCUUUGUGAACACCAAACAGAGCAUCAGGGGAUACUGUCUAUGCGGUAAUAUUUUUCCUAUAUUUUCAAUACUUACCUCAAAGCAUGUUAGAAGGCUGGCACAGGCUUCAGUCAGUCCGCUCUUGGCAAACUGAACUUUCUUGAUAACCGCACUCAUAAUAGUGUGGUGUUCUUCGUCGAUGGAAGCGCCUCGAAGCGCUCCCAACAGGUUGUCCGAUGCCUCUGGAUGGACAGAGGUCACUGGCAUGGGUGUCUUGCCCCUUUUGGAAGGGGGCCGCCUGCCCGAGUCCGGAACCACUGGAGGUUCCGGCGCGGUGUUCUGCUGAGAGCCGAACUUGGAGCCCCCGGGAGUCUUGCUCCCUUUGCUCCUGGACUCCGGAAGGUCGCCUUGAGGCACCUCCGGGACUGUCUCCCCCGGCUCGGUGCUCCUUCAGACAAUACCUUGACAUUGUCUGUAGGGAAAGGGGAGGAGGCGGUCGGAAGUGGAUCGCUAUCCAUAUCCGACGAGUCCAAGGAACCACCCGACGAGGAUACGUCGAUACGGGCUUGGGGCGGUCUACAUAAUCAUAUUCGGCGUUAGGAGAAGCAGUGCGACAAAGGUAUGCUAUGAGUUACUCUGGUAUCCGAAUACUUACGACUUCGCCAGGGGCUUGGCCCUGAGCAGCCACUCGUCUUCACCAUCGCUGGCGGUGGUGGAGCAGUCCGGAAGGAGAGUCCUUCCCUUCUUGGACCCUUCGGCCUCCCCGGUUGGGGCGGCCUUCCUUUUCUUGUCUCCCCCGGUUGGAGGGGGAGAAUCUUCAUCUUCCUUCUCCUUGUUUUCACGGGAGGACGGUGUCUUGGUGUUAUCGGACGAGGAGUCCGAUACCACCUGGCGCCGGGAACUCUUUCGGGUUCCCUUGGCCUUCUUCUUGGUCUUCUCCGGCACCUCAUAAGGAGCCGGAGUCAGCAUCUCCUUCAGGAGAGCGUCCGCAGUGUCUUCAAGAAGAGGGGUCGGACAGUCAAUCUGCUCCGAUGCCUCCACCCAGUCCUGUCAGAUGGGAGCUCAGACCCCGCACAUGGUUAAGCUAUGGGAAAUAAAUAUCCUACCAGAUGUAUAGAACUUACCAGAUUCGCAGGGCGCUUCGCGCUUAGUCCGCGGUCCUCGGUGAGAGAGGGAGGGACCUCGGCACCCUUGAACAGCACCCUCCAGACGUCUUUGUGCGUCGUGUCGAAGAUCUCGCUUAGAGUCUGGUGCCGGGCUGGGUUGAACUCCCAUAAGUUGAAAUCCCGUUGUUGACAUGGGAGGAUCCGGCGGAAGAGCAUGACCUGGACUAUGUUGACAAGCUUAAGUUUCUUGCUUGUCAUGUUCUGGAUACACUUCUGGAGUCCGUCCAGCUCCACCGAUGAACACCGGGACAGGCCCUUCUCCUUGCAGGAACGGAGCCGCGAGGGGAUUCUGGAUCGAAACUCGGGGGCCGCCACCCAGUUGGUGUCGCGCGGCUCGGUGAUGUAGAACCACCCCGAUUGCCACCCCUUUAUGGUCUCCACGAAGGAGCCCUCGAGCCAUGCAACGUUGGGCAUUUUGCCCACCAUGGCUCCGCCGCAUUCUGCUUGUUGGCCGCCCACCACCUUCGGCUUUAUAUUGAAGGUCUUCAGCCACAGGCCAAAGUGGGGCCGGAUGCGGAGGAAAGCCUCGCACACGACGAUGAACACCGAAAUGUUGAGGAUGAAAUUCAGGGCCAGAUCAUGAAAGUCCAGCCCAUAGUAGAACAUGAGGCCACAGACGAAUGGAUGGAGGGGAAACCCCAAUCCGCGGACGAAAUGGGGGAGGAAAACCACCCUUUCGUGAGGUUCCGGGUAGGGACAAUCUGCCCCGCGGCUGGCAACCGGUGCGCAAUAUCCGCGGCUAAGUAUCCGGCUCCACGUAACUUUUUGAUGUGCCCCUCUGUGACGGAGGAGGCCAUCCACUUGCCUCCCACUCCAGACAUGUUUGGGGAGAGUUGAGGAGGAGGAUGCGGACUUGGGCGCUGGAGCUCGAGUGCACGAGAAUGGAUGAGCAAGGAGGAAGAAGGCAUGGGUAUAAAAAGGUGAGACCUUAUCCCUUUAUAAGGGCGGACUAAAAUAUGCACCCCCACUUGCCUGGUAAAACUCGCUUAUCUCCCACGUCCGUAUUGAUGAGAAUCCCAUAAUAAGGGGAACACGAUCUCUGCUUUGACAAGACGUGUCAAGAAACCGCCUCGCAUUAUGUGCGGGGGCUGGUUAAAGAAAAACGGUUCAAAUAAUUAUCGGGCCAUGGCGUGAUGUCAUGCUGCCGAAACGUGUCAGCAGAUUAGAUUUGUGGUAAUAUUAUUCUCUCUACGGUGGUAUGUGGAACUUAUUUUGCAGGGUCGGACACUAUCCUUGUAUUCAAAUUCUUUCGUGGUGUAUUCGGAGGAGGAACCCGCCUUGCAAUGCUGAAGACAACACUGCCACUACAAGAAAUAUGUCAACUUGUGACCUUGACUAUUGGUCACUGAAAGGUCAUUGUUUUUCAUUUGCGACCUUUUUGUGACCAAAAAUAGAAGGUCAAAAGCUGGCGGUCGUAAACUGAAAUUAACGACCUUCUCUGUGAGAAGGUCGUAGACGUUUACGACCAAAAUAUGCCUACUGGUUUGUUUUGGUCACUAGCAACCUCCCCAGCCCACGUAGGCAUCUAGCAUGGCAAGCAGAUGUGGCACAAGAUUCAGCCCGGUCCAAUUCGGCGUUCUACAUGGGCCUAGCCCAACAAUUCGGCCUUUCUAUAUAUUUUUUUCCUAUGCUUUUAUUAGCUACAUGGGCCUGGCCCAAGAAUUCGGCCUUUUUAUUUUCUAGGCCAUGGCCUUUUUUAUUUUAUUUUUUCCAAAAGACGAGCCCACUAGUGAGAUGGUACCCAAUUGUCAGGUUUUAACAAGUGGGUCCCAGUUGUCACUGUUAUAUUCUUCAGAUCUCAAUUUUCUAGUAAAUAAAUAACAAUAUUUAAAUCCGAACAGAGAGAAAACAAAAUGCUUCAAACAGAGCAUGAUUAAUCAGGAAAAAUAUGGUUCACAUCACGAAUACAAUCAAAAAGAGCCAAACUUGGCACAUUACAAUCAAACUUGUUCAUCCUGGUAACACAAUAAGGAUGGUUCAUCCUGGUAACACAUUAUUACAGAAAAAUAUGGUUCACAUCAAGUUUACAAUAAAAAAAUGUUCACAUCAGUAACACAACUAUCACAGUAUAACUAGCUCCAAUGCUUCUCCCAACUUGUUCAUCCUGGAUCUCAUGACAAAACAUGAAUGAAGGCCAGCAUCUGCAAGUUAUCAAGAAAAAUGGUUAGAACAAGCAAAAUGCGACAUUUUUACCAUUUAAGCAUAGAAGAACAGGGUCAACAACAUUUUGAUCUUUGAAAAUGAACUAGGAUUUCAAUCUUUGAACAGCAAAAAAUUGAUACAGUAGAUCAUUUGCGGUUUAAAAGAACCCCUAAGGAGACACAUGUUGACACAUUCAUUUGGCAACAUCUGUAGAAUUUGAACCUCAUAAACAUGCAAUGUGGAAUUUGUAUCUCAAAGAAGUAUACAUAUUUAUCAGGUUUAAUUAGCACAUAAACAUGCAAUGUGGAAUUUGUAUCUCAAAGAAGUAUACAUACUUAUUAGGUUUAAUUAGCACACAGAAGCCAAAUGCUAGUAGCUCAUGAUUAGUACACAAGACAGAUUCAACAAAGUAAACAAGAAGGUGGCUACAGUACAAAACUAAGCUCAUCACACAGAAUAAAAUGAUAUUAAAAGUAAGCUCAGCAUAAGCAUAUGAGUUUUUUUGGCACCACCAGAUCAAACAUAGCAACUCCAAUGUGAACAGUUUCAGCAUUAUUGCCAUAUGUUUCCUUGGAAUCAUACUACACAGAGAAGGGUUCAACCUUAAGUCUGAACUAGCCUUAAAUGGUGGAGUACAAAUUUCCUUCUGUACUAGUGGACGUUGAUGGUGUUCCCUUCUUUUACAAAGGAGGACCCCACAUGCAGUGGCUACAUAAACAAGAAGUGUCAGCUUAAGUUGCAACCAGGAAUAGAAACACUUGCAAAAAUUCGGGCACUUGGGGUUUGGCAGGAGUACUACCUUGUGGAUGUCGCCCAUGAUGUUUGUGAGGAACAAGAG
rnacentral:lncRNA from 1 species